rnacentral:rRNA from 1 species
CCUACGGGAGGCUGCAGUAGGGAAUCUUCCACAAUGGACGCAAGUCUGAUGGAGCAACGCCGCGUGAGUGAAGAAGGUUUUCGGAUCGUAAAGCUCUGUUGUUGGUGAAGAAGGAUAGAGGUAGUAACUGGCCUUUAUUUGACGGUAAUCAACCAGAAAGUCACGGCUAACUACGUGCCAGCAGCCGCGGUAAUACGUAGGUGGCAAGCGUUGUCCGGAUUUAUUGGGCGUAAAGCGAGCGCAGGCGGAAGAAUAAGUCUGAUGUGAAAGCCCUCGGCUUAACCGAGGAACUGCAUCGGAAACUGUUUUUCUUGAGUGCAGAAGAGGAGAGUGGAACGCCAUGUGUAGCGGUGGAAUGCGUAGAGAUAUGGAAGAACACCAGUGGCGAAGGUGGCUCUCUGGUCUGCAACUGACGCUGAGGCUCGAAAGCAUGGGUAGCGAACAGGAUUAGAUACCCCGGUAGUC